CCUACGGGUGGCAGCAGUGAGGAAUAUUGGUCAAUGGGCGCGAGCCUGAACCAGCCAAGUAGCGUGAAGGAUGACUGCCCUACGGGUUGUAAACUUCUUUUAUAAAGGAAUAAAGUGAGGCACGUGUGCCUUUUUGUAUGUACUUUAUGAAUAAGGAUCGGCUCACUCCGUGCCUGCAGCCGCGGUAAUACGGUGGAUCCGAGCUGUAUCCGGAUUUAUUGGGUUUAACGGGAGCGUAGAUGGGUUGUUAAGUCAGUUGUGAAAGUUUGCGGCUCAAACGUAAAAUUGCAAUUGAUACUGGCAGUCUUGAGUACAGUUGAGGUAGGCGGAAUUCGUGGUGGAGCGGUGAAAUGCUUAGAUAUCACGAAGAACUCCGAUUGCGAAGGCAGCUUACUAAACUGCCACUGACAUUGAUGCUCGAAAGUGUGGGUAUCAAACAGGAUUAGAUACCCUUGUAAGUC
rnacentral:rRNA from 1 species